UUCCAGACUCCUACGGGAGGCAGCAGUGGGGAAUAUUGCACAAUGGGGGAAACCCUGAUGCAGCGACGCCGCGUGAGUGAAGAAGUAAUUCGUUAUGUAAAGCUCUAUCAGCAGGGAAGAAAAUGACGGUACCUGACUAAGAAGCCCCGGCUAACUACGUGCCAGCAGCCGCGGUAAUACGUAGGGGGCAAGCGUUAUCCGGAUUUACUGGGUGUAAAGGGAGCGUAGACGGCGAUGCAAGCCAGAUGUGAAAGCCCGGGGCUCAGCCCCGGGACUGCAUUUGGAACUGUGUGGCUGGAGUGUCGGAGAGGCAGGCGGAAUUCCUAGUGUAGCGGUGAAAUGCGUAGAUAUUAGGAGGAACACCAGUGGCGAAGGCGGCCUGCUGGACGAUGACUGACGUUGAGGCUCGAAAGCGUGGGGAGCAAGCAGGAUUAGAUACCCCAGUAAA
rnacentral:rRNA from 1 species